UAAGAUUAUUCGCUAAAAUUUAUUUUUUCUUUGCUUAUGCUGAUGUGGCUGUGCCACAUCACCCGGCCACCACACCCGGUCCCCAAUCCCUACUCCCUAAAAUUAUACCAAUAAAUAACACUCUUUUUUUUUAAUACAAUGAUAAUAUAAAUAAUUAAUAUUAUACUUCAUACAUUUCUAAAUAAGUGUCGUUUAAAUUUUUUGCGCAUAGAUUAAAAAAGUCAUUUAAUACUAUCAUUUACUAAUAAUUAAAAUCUGUAUGAAAUUUCAUCACUACCCCUUUAUGGGAAGUUGAAAAUUAUUAAUACUAAAUGUGAGAAUUUCUUAGGAUAAUGAGAGAAGAUAAGGGUGAUACUCCCUCCAUUCCUUAAUAUAAGUCGUUUUAGAAAAAUAUUUUUGUACCUUAAUAUAAAUCGUUUUAGAAUUUCAAGUAAGCAUUAAUUGCUUAGUUUCCAAUAUUAUCCCAAGUAUUAAAUGUAAUUUUAGUUCUCUCACUAUUUUUUGUCCAAUAAAUAACAAUAUCUUCUUCCAAUACAAGGGCAAAAUAGACAAUUGAUAUUAUAGUUAAUGCUAUACAAUCAUUUCCUUAAUAUUUGUGUACAGCUCUAAAACGACCUAUAUUAAAGAACGGAGGGAGUAUAAGAAAGUAAAUAAUUUAUUCUCCUAGAAAGUUGUAAACGACAGAUAAUUUGGAACAAAUUUUUUCUUUCAAAAAGUCACUUAUUUAAGAAUGGAGGGAGUAUUUAAUACUAUAUAAUCAUCUCCUUAAGUAUUUUAUGUACAAUUCUAAAAUGACAACCAUAGCAUUGAACAUGGCCAAAACUUUCGCAUGAGAAGCAUAAUUGGCCUAACCAAAAUACACAGUAGAACCCAAAAAUGCAAGAACAUCAAUUCAAUAUAGGCAUGAGAAGCAUCAUUUUAAUAUUUUUACUAAAACCUAAAAAUGCAAGAGCAUCAAUUCAAAGUUCAGACUAAAAUUGGAAAGGGUAAGAACAUCACACCAAAAGCAUCAACUAUCAAGAGGAGAUGUUUAAGUUACUCUCGUCCCUCUCUAUUCUCCCCUGCAUUCUGCACAAGACGUUUGAGAGUCACAAAGUGAGUUCUAGUAAGAAAUAUCCUUACAUACAUAAUAUGCUCUUACAAAUUGCAUCAAUUGCGUUAUCGCAUGUUUAUGCUUAGUUCGAUACCAUGUUUUUAUACUCCGCUUUAGAAAAAGGGGUCCUACUUUGUUUCUUCGACUUUCUUUUUGAAUGAUCAUGUUUGAAUACGACACACUUCAGCAAAAUCCCAAAUUAAUAUGGAUUUAUUCAUCAAACUUCUGACAAGAAUAGCUUUGUUUAAGAAUUUCCUAACAAACAGUUUUAUCUUUAGAGAGUGAUAGAGAUCAUACUUCGGAGCUCAGUUGAGGCGCAGCCAUAGAUGCUGAACAUCCGGGCAAGGCAAGAUAGGCUUCAACUUCAUCACCUGCAAGCAAGGGACAAAACACAAAUGAUUUCGAAUUUCCACAGUUAUGUUAAAUUCAUAUUUCCCAAUUAUAAAUUGGCAUCCCACAGAUUGUGCAGGAUUUUAUUUUCACAGAUUGCCUUUACUUAUCCUAGUCCCAAGCCAUAUGAUUAUGAUCAAGUCAGAUUACUAACUUUAAGCUUAUCACCUAUGAACUUCCUGGAGCCAUUUGCUUGCCCAAGUAAGGUACAUUACAUGGUUGUCAAUGUCUACCCAUGUGUCAACUUCAAUUUUAAGUCCAUCACAAAUUUUGAUAUAGCAAGUAUUUCUUUUAGAAAGAUUUUGGCACAAAGUCUCUAGAUUAAUCAGAAUUCUCCAAGCUUGUUCACCCAGAAGCACAAAAGAGUUUGGCUUAAAUUUUUCUAUUAUCUUAUCUGAUCUGAUCUCUAUAUUCCUCAUUUCUCAAUCAGCGGAGGGAUGCUGCCCAUCAAUCCAAAGAUUCUAAAGGCAACACCUUGAAACUCGACAACACCACCUAUGAACGGCUACCGAUUAAGAAGGGAACUAAUAGAGAAAAAUGUUAUAGCUCUGACAACAACACCAACUAAUGUUAAGGGUCUCAAAUGUGUCAAAAAUACACGUCAUCAUUACAUUAGUUGCUCAACAUCAUGGCAGAUCCUAAGCAAUCAUUGCUAACCAGUGUAAUGAUACAUGUGUAUUUCAGACCCAAAAUUUGAGACCCAUAGCGUUACUCAAUAACACGACAUGCCAACCUCCAUUUGCAAUCCACCCACCUCCUAAACUAACGUCAAAAUAGUUGCCUACAUAACCACCAAACCAUGAUGUAUAAAAGAUCCACCCUCUUCCUUCUCGGCAUUGUUAUCUAACUUCAAAAGUUAACGAGGUCACAAAUUAUUCACUUCAGGUAAUUCUCAAAGAGAAUUUCGGCCACGGAAAAAUUUCAGCUACAUCUCUGUAGAACUUCUUUGGUCUAGACAAAGAUUCCAGACACCCUUAAAAUCUAUCUGUCACUAUCAACCAAGCUUGUCCCUUGCAAACUUCUGUCAGCAACAUCGAGUGACCCUCCAAGUUCACCUCCACCACCGUAAAACUACUCCAGCAGUUGGAGUAGCAAGACACUGCUACUCUCUGAUCUGGUCACACUUAUUCUUACCAGCCUCUUCUGUGAUGGGAUGGCUUCGCUUGCCUUAACCAAUAGCACACCCAAGGCAGCUCUUCCCCAAGCAAACAUACCUCCUUAGCAUACCCAUUGCUUUGCUCAAGCUAUCUGAAAGCUGAUAUCCCCAAACCCCAGUAUUCCAUAAGUUCAUAGGACUCUAGUCAAGUUGAACGGGAAGUUCUCUCUCUCUCUCUCCAUUUCAGAUAUAUUAUUAAAGACAUUCAUUUGCAGCAUUUAUUUUUAAUGCAUUAUGUUGCGAUCUUUUUUGAUUUUUUUCAUGAGGUGAUAGAAAUUAGUCUUCGAUCCUCUAUAGGUAAUCGUCGACUUUUCAAGUCAAUAGGAUUUCUUCUCUAACCAAUAAGUUCGUCCCUGAGUUAUUUACCCCUUUUACAGUCUUCAAGGCUAAAUUGGAAUUUAUAUUUUACCAAAUUUUGUUUAAUUUUGCUCAAUCUUAACACUUAGAUGUUGAUAGUUAUUUUUAUUUUCUCAUAUUUCUAAGUAUAUUUUUAUAAACCCCCNNNNNNNNNNNNNNNNNNNNNNNNNNNNNNNNNNNNNNNNNNNNNNNNNNNNNNNNNNNNNNNNNNNNNNNNNNNNNNNNNNNNNNNNNNNNNNNNNNNNCUACUUACUAUUUAUAAAAUUUAGUUGGUUCAUUGUUUUACUUUUAUGCCCUUAUAAUAAAUAUUCAACCAUUACUCUUUUUUUGAAGAAACAAUAUUCAAUGUCAUUAUUUUUAUCACCACAUUUAAUGUUGUUGUAUUCUCUUUGGUUUAAGUUCUAUGGUUAUGGACUCUAAUGGUUAGUACACGUCAAUCAAUGAAGUUGAGAGUUCCAAUGUGAAAAGUAAGGAAUAAUUAACUUAUUCAUUAAUUCCAUAUUAACGGGUAUAUGUGAAAAAUUAUGUUAAAAAUUGUCACUUAAACUGAUUUUUUUAAACUAUGUGCCAAAAGAAAUCAGCCUAUAACUAUGGGACGGAGGGAGUAUAUAUAUGUGUGUGUGUGUGUAAAAUAUGGGAGAUACUAUAAUUUUUUAAUCUCUAACUGUCCUCAUAACUUAGGGCUACUCAUCCAACAAGCUUCAAAUAGAGUAAAUGUAGGCUACAAAGGAUGCCUGGGAGCUGUAUCCAACAAAGGAGGGGGCUUUAAUCUGGAUUUUCGAUAGAGUGAGACACAUAAUAGCCUCGUAAUAUAGUUUUCAUUCAUUCUUCUUACCAAUCUUUCACAACAGUCCCAAUUUAAUAUUGACAGAAAAAAUCUCAAGGUGUUUUUUUGUUUAAUUUAACCACCAAAAGAGAGAACUUUGGUCUCACGAAAAAGAAGCGCAUGUUAAUUUUUUAUGACAAAGUGAAAAAACAUUUAUAUAAUUACAAGGAUUAGAGAAGGCCCAAGAAUAUACCUGCUGAGUUGCUGGCUUUGCUUAAUUCUCUUUUAAUGUGCUAAAUCUUAACACUUAGAUUUCAUGGUUAUUCUUAUUCAUGAUCUCAUGCUUAUAAUCAUAAUUUAAUUCUCUAUCCUAAGAUUUCAAAAAAUACCCAAAAUAUUUUCUCUCAACCGCCAUUCAUAACUUCUUUUCCUUCUAGGCUAACAAUCUAAAAGUCUUAAAUUUAGUAUAUCUAGGCUAAAAAGAAUAACUGGGGAUUAGUAUCUAGCAAAAGAGGGUUACGAUUAGAUUGUGAUAGGGUGAGUAACCAAUGGUUCGCCACAUAUGUCUCUACAUUGCCAAAUUCUACAUCAAAUCUUCACGGUCUCAAACAUCUUAUUGUUACAUCAAGUAUAGUGUUGCCCUUUAGCUAACAUCUCAUGUAACUUGCACUGAUUAACAUAAUUAUGUUCAUAAUUUUUGACCAAAGUGUAAAGUGUUUCAAUCUAAUAAGGGUUGACGAAGUCCCCUGCAGUUCUAAACAAAAAUUCUUAAGGUAAAUUGGAUUGCUGUUUUGGGAAUCAAAACCCUCAGCAAUAACACCGAACCAAAUUAGAAACAAGAAGUGUAGGAGUGAUAGAAAGGAUUCAUACCUAUACCACCUUGAAACUGUGGUUCCAAUUUUGUCUCACCAUAUGGCAAUUUAGCAAAUACAGCAAAUUCGAUAGCAUUGACAGAUUGUAUUUGACAUUGGGUCACAUAUAACAAAUGUUGUAAUUUAUCACGAGCUGUUUUCAUUCUUGAAACAACUUCAUUAUCUUCUUCAGUUGAUACGGGAUCUCCAUUAAUUUCUCCAAUUUUGCCAUUUUGUCUUGCUUCAAGCCGUAGUUUCGGAUUCAUCUCCAUGUUACCACUUUCUUUAUUCUCGACCAUAUUCGAUAUCACCAAGAAUUUCCUUGGUCUUCCCAUCUCUUCUAUUUCAAUUAUUUCUUUAUUCAUACACCUCUCAAUAUUCCGUUCCUUUUCUCUUUUGGUUGAAGCUCUUGUUUUCACCAUCUGGCAAAUUAAACUAUACCUUUCUUCACCCCACUCUUUCUUAGAUUGAGCCGAAGUGAUCUAGAAGCAAAGAAACCAACAGCCGCUCUAUUCUAAUUCUCGUUUUUCUCUUUUAUGGUAGUAGGGUUCCAGCUAGAAUGUGUAUUUAAAAGGUCAUGUACUGAACUAGGGCUGUAACCAGAUGUACAUACAUCUGUAUAUGCAUUGUAUCCGACAAAUAUUAAGUCGUAUCUGUAUCUGACGGUUAUUAUUCAAAUAUGAAUAUUAUCCAUAUCAGUUAUUUAAAUAUUCAGAUGUCCGUAUUUAUACCUGAUAAUAUCUAAAUUUGUAUCAAAAAUUUUCUACAAUUAACGUUUUAAAUUCAUGUUAUACUAAUUGGAAUAGACAAAGGAGUUGUUAAGAUAUUAGGCCACCAAAAGUAUUGCUUAACCAACCAGAUAAAAAUUAGAAAAAUGCACCUACUAAAUAAAUUUUAAAAAAAAUCGUAAUAUUCAUCAACAAAAAACUGUCAAUGGUUCUUUUUCCGUUGCCAAGUAAAAAUUGUAAAUGGUUUCAAAUACAAUACACCAAAAUCAUAGCACAUAUAGAAAACAUAAAUACUCAAUUAAUAUUGUUGUUAUAUCAUGUACAAAGAGUAAAUGAGAAAUUCAUUUUCCAUAAAAAUGCUUGCUAAUAUGAGAAUUAUAUUAUAAAAGCAUCCAUUAAAAAAAUAAUACGAAUUUCUUAUUUAAUCUUGGUUCACAAUACAAAAAAAUAACUUAGAUGCAAUAUUGAAAGAUAUAUGAAUUAUUCUAUAUGGAAACAAAAAAUAUAUGGAAUACUAAUCUUGCAAUUUGGUAACUUUUUGACGAUAAAGAAGUGAUCUAGAUUUAGUUUUAAGUAUGCAUAAUUGAUUUACUAAUAUUUUUUAUAAAGUGUUACUACUUGCUUGCAACUGACCAAUAUUUGGAAAAGAAUGAAUGAAAUUUUAAUUAUUUCUUGACGAUUUUAUGUAUUAUUUGCAUAUGAAAAUUUGAAGGUAAAUUAAAAGUCUUCUUAUGCACAAAUAUUUUACUCUAACAUUGAUUUAGUUGUGCAAACAAUGACGUGGAUGAUUGCAUAAGCAUUCAAUUUUCAUGUCAUCCAUUAAACUAUUUUCUGCAUUCCCAGGGUAGACCAAUUCAAUAUAGAUUCUUAAUUUCUGCAUUGAAAGUAGUUCCAAGUUAUAAAUUCUAAUGUCUAAUGAAAGUGAUUGCUCUAAUAGCAUUGAUGAGCUAUGUAUAUUAUUUUAUUUGAGUUAAGGUGUACAACCAUUUGAUUUAUUUUCAGGAUGUGUAUUUAUUCUGAUAUGUAGACUUUCUUUACCAGCAACUUGCAUAAUUUAGACAGAGCUCAGCCAAGAAUGGUUUAUCAAAUUUACACAAAGAGACCUCUAACAAGUUACAAUUAUAUUAAUAUUCAAGGCGCAACUUAAUAAUUGUUAAAUCUGCUGAUAUUAGAGUAUAUGAUUAUUAAGUACUUUUUGUAUGGUAUGUAAUGAAACGAUCUUAUUAAGUUCAUUUAUUAAAGUAGUGUUAAUUGUUAAUAUUAUUGCAUUCGCUUGUUUUGCCUAAAUGUGAUGUAGAAAACUCUUUUAAUUAAUGAUUAUCUUAUUUCCCUUGUCUUCUAUCAUACAAACUUUUAAAAGUUUCUUCAUGUACUUUUAGUGAUGGCCAAUUUUGGAGAUAAAUAGAAUACUACUUGAUUCAGAAUACAUAGGCCUCAUAUUAUAUACCUUGAUAUACCAUACAAAUUAAAGACAAACUAAAAAAGAAUUAGAAUAAUUUUAUAAUUUAAUCAUCAUUUAUAUAUAAUUUUCCCGUGCAUAGCACGAGUGGGUAAUAGUUUCAAGUAUUAGAGAGGUCUCGAGUGUGAAAGUGACUUAACAUGACAAAGGUCCCAUUUGUUGCAAUUUAUUUUAUUAGAUAAUACUCCCUCCGUUCUAUGAUAAAAGUCCUUAUUACUAUUUUGGGUAGUCCCAUGUUAAAUGUCCAUUUUCCAUUAAUAACUAAGGGUGUAAACGAGUCGAAUCUCAGCGAACACCUUCAUGCUCAGAUUCGGCUCGACUCGAAAAAAUUGAGCUCGAAUUCGACUCGGAUUUGACAAGGGAUUUAAAUUUUUGCGCCAGAUUCUACUCGGAUCAUUACUCGGACCUACUCGACUCGUUUACAAAACGAGUUACUCAUGAGCCUUCAAAUCGAGUUUCGAAUAUGAACCAUUUCACUUAAAACUGAACCACUACAUACUACAUUGGUUACUUAACUAAUAUUUAUAUAUAAAACUUUUUCACUUUUAUUUAUGUAUUGGAAUUAUAAAGAAUGUAAUAAAAAUUGGCAUUCAAUUCAUUGAUUUAUUCAAGUACAAGUUUAUACAAUUUCAUACUACACUUUAUAAAUUACAAAGAUUGAUACAAAUAUCACAUAUUUAGCUUACUAACAUGGAUCAGGCCAAUAGAAUAUGAUCCAUCGAGCAGGUAUCGAGUAUGGUUCGAAAAAAAUGAAAUACUCGAACCCUAAUUUGAGCGAACACUGGUAUGCUCGAAUUCGACUCAUGUAUCAUUAAACAGAAAACGAGUAUGGAUCAUAUUCGACUCGGAUCAACUUCGAAUUCGAGUUUUGGAUCAUAUUUUCGAGCCGAUCUCGAGUCGAGUACCGAACUACUUGGCUCGACUUACACCCCUAUUAAUAACCAAACUUUUACACAUAUUUUCCUAUUAUACCCGUAGCAUUAAAUAUCUCAUACUUUUUUUAUUCUAAUUCUCUUUCCAUAUUUAAUGACAUUAUUAUGGACAAUUUUGUCAUUUCAUUCAUCUUCUUAAUAUGCGUAAAAAGUCCACCAGGACUUUUAUCAUGGGACGGAGGGAGUAGUUAAUUUUAAAUUCAAAGGUAAUGCAUUAAAUGUAACGAAUAAGAAUAAAUUAAAAUCAUAUUGUAGCUUAAAGAAGCAAAUUACAACAGAUUUCUCAAUGGGUGGUUCUCAUCUUAAGGUUGUAUAUUUAGGGCAUUUCUGGAAAGACUUAAAGAGGAAGUGGAGAGAAAUACUUUUGGUUCAGUGUGAGAAAGAGAGGGGAGAAGGCAUUUAAAAAAAUAAUGUGUACAAUGGUGAGAACCAAAUUGAGGGUAAUUGAAAAAUGGAAAGAGCUCAUAAUCAACAGCAACAAUUGAUUAAGGAGAUCAACUAUCAACUUAUCCGCCAAAGCUCUGAGGUUUACUCUGGACCAAAGCUGCCAAAUACUCUAAUUGACAUAGACUAUCUCGUAUUGGUACUUGCAUACCCAAACAUGGUACCGAGUACCAAUACUCUAAAUUUAGCAUACCGAAAAAUUUCUUUGUCGUUUUAUCUAUAAUUGACUUAGUAUUGGAUGGUCAAACAUCAUAUUUGUACUAAAUUAUUUAUAAAACAAGUAAUUGUUAAUUCAACUAAAAGGCUUCUAUAAAACUUAAGUUUAUUGCACAAGUUUAUAAGACACUUCCUAACUAUAAACACUCAUAUAAAUAUACUAAGCGUACCACGUUUUAGAUAUGUAGAAUAGAGCACUGAGCACACUAGUAUUGGUUCCACGGACUGAAACGAACAGUGUUCUAGGUAACAUUGCUCUGGACUAUCCAUUCGUCAAUAGAACUGCAUUGAACGAUGACUUUGUUUAAGACCACAAGAUAUAAACAUUGGCUACACACUUUUAAGGUGGUAUAUGUGUGAUUCGAUUUCUUAUCACUCUUGAAAUACUUUUUUUCAAUUGUGGGUGGGUAUGUUUUUUGUUGAGGGUUUUGAUUCCCAAAACAGCACUAAAACUACCAUAAUUUUUUUCUUGGAACUGCAGGGGCUUGGUCAGCCUUUAUCAGAUGGCAUCAUUUUGCCACUUCGGUCAAAAAUAAAACUGAUUAUAUAUGUAAAACGGAGGAAUGCCAGGAUAAAGAUUCGAUCUUAAGAUAAGGGGGCUUUCUUUUCUUUGAGGCAUUUAAUCAAGCAGGUAAAUUGCAUCAUGCUAAACAUUUAUACAAAAAUUCAAACAUACAAAUAAAGAAAGAUUGAAUUUGUAUUAGAAAUCUGAAGCAGAAGUAAAAAUUUGAAUGUUACAAACAGUUGGGAUCAACUUACUUCAUUCGUAGCAACGGAGAGGGAAGAAGCCAAUUCUACUCCGGGGAAAGUAGUUGCAAGGAGGAGAGAGCAUAAAGCACAGCUAUCCGAACUCUCUAGAGAGUUGAAGAACGCUAUAUUAUCUUCUACUCCCUCAAUCGGAUACGAGUUUGAACCGAUAAGAAUGAGUUUGGAUUUAAAUGGGUUGAAAUUAUAUGAAUUGUAAAUAGAGUGAAUUAUAAAUAGGUGGGCAUAAAUGGACAUGUGUGGAUAUGGGUCACCCGUAUAACCAAUUUCAU
rnacentral:lncRNA from 1 species